rnacentral:rRNA from 1 species
GAUGAACGCUGGCGGCGUGCUUAACACAUGCAAGUCGAACGAAGACAUCUGAGUGCUUGCACUUGGAUGGACUGAGUGGCGGACGGGUGAGUAACGCGUGGGUAACCUGCCUUAUACAGGGGGAUAACAGUUGGAAACGACUGCUAAUACCGCAUAAGCGCACGGUAUCGCAUGAUACAGUGUGAAAAACUCCGGUGGUAUAAGAUGGACCCGCGUCUGAUUAGCUAGUUGGUGAGGUAACGGCCCACCAAGGCGACGAUUGGUAGCCGGACUGAGAGGUUGAACGGCCACAUUGGGACUGAGACACGGUCCAGACUCCUACGGGAGGCAGCAGUAGGGAAUAUUGGGCAAUGGGCGCAAGCCUGACCCAGCAACGCCGCGUGAGGGAAGAAGGUUUUCGGAUUGUAAACUUCUUUUGUCAGGGAAGAGUAGAAGACGGUACCUGACGAAUAAGCCACGGCUAACUACGUG